UAGAACUGCUCUGUGAAUUAGGUAGUUUCAUGUUGUUGGGCUUUUAAUUUUAAACACAAGAACAUCAGACUACCUGAUUUACUCCAGUUACC
rnacentral:pre_miRNA from 1 species